CCUACGGGAGGCAGCAGUGAGGAAUAUUGGUCAAUGGGCGGGAGCCUGAACCAGCCAAGUCGCGUGAAGGAUGAAUGUCCUGAGGAUUGUAAACCUCUUUUAUCAAGGAAUAAAGUCUGGCACGCGUGCCUGUUUGUAUGUACUUUAUGAAUAAGCAUCGGCUAACUCCGUGCCAGCAGCCGCGGUAAUACGGAGGAUCCGAGCGUUGUCCGGAUUUAUUGGGUUUAAAGGGGGCGUAGACGGGUUGUUAAGUCAGUUGUGAAAGGUUGGGGCUCAACCGUAAAAUUGCAAUUGAUACUGGCAGUCUUGAGUACAGUAGAGGUAGGCGGAAUUCGUGGUGUAGCGGUGAAAUGCAUAGAUAUCACGCAGAACCCCGAUUGCGAAGGCAGCUUACUGAAUUGACACUGACACUGAUGCACGAAAGUGUGGGUAUCAAACAGGAUUAGAUACCCGAGUAGUC
rnacentral:rRNA from 1 species